GCGGUCAGUUUCUCAAUAAACUUAUGUUUACUUAAAGACUAUGAAAAAAACAUUUGAACACACAAAAAAAGAGAAAAGCCUAUGACUGAAUUAGUAGAUGGAUAUAGCCUUGUGCGUGUGUAGUUCUCAGUAAGUCACAGUGCGACGACUAUCAUUAGAAGCUGUGAUAUAUUUCAGCUGAGACCGCAGCAGUCAACAGAGGCCGCCAUUCACUACUUCCUCUCUUACUUUUAUGCUCCUCUCUGUUUAACUUUUAACCCUCUCUUAUUUAUUCAUAAUCCUCUUUUUUCUCUCAGCUCCCUCCCUUUUUCAACUCAACACUUUCUCCGUCUAUUCUUGACCCUCCUCUGCUUUACAAUUACGUCUCUCUCUCUCUCAUCAUCACUCGCAGCUCUCUCUUUAACUCUCAACCCCUCUCUCAUUCUAAACUAUUACUCUCGAAUAACUCAACCCUCUCUCUUUCGUUUUUAACCUGUCCUUUCUUAUGCACAACCUUCUCACCCCCUCAUUUUUCAAUUGUCUUCCUCUUACUCACUGUUACUGUCAACCCUCUUUUUCUUACUCACAACUCCCGCUCCUUCACUCUUUUUGUCUCUUCAUUCUGAUAUAUUCUCUUUCUUCUCAUCUCUUUAUCCCGCUCUGUCUUUCUCUAUUUUUCGUCAUCCACUGCAACUCGUUCGGUAGAUCUCUUAUUCGUGUAUUCUUUCUUAGUUAAAAAAUAAUCAGGAGGAAAAAAAAACGCAAAACAAUCGACAAUAACAGACAAAAAAAUUUAUUCCCUCAGUUUAUUCAUUUAUUCGUUUAUUCAUUUCGAACAGGUUUUCUCUAUUCCCUCUAUUCGUUCAUUCAUUUCCGAACGCGUGUUAUUGUUUCACGUCAACUGAAAACCCGUAAGAAGAGUACUAAAUUGUCGAACGCUGGUAAUAUAAUAAUAAUGGUUGCUAUUGACUGCUUCUUCUUCUGCUGCUGGUUUACUUAAUUAGCUUCGUCGGGGGGAAAGAGAGAGAAAGAGAGUGAGAAAGACAGAAAGUGAGAAAGAAAGAAAGAAAAGGAGAGAGUGAGAGAGAGAGAAAAAAAAAAGCACAAAAUAAAAACAAAACAAAAAUUGACUGUGAAUUGGACGAUGGAUGUGGAACAGUUCUGAAAAAUAUAAUAUAACGGAGUUUAAAUGCCGGAUAAAAUAUUUUAGGGUUUUAAACCUGAACAGCUUUUUUCUUUCUUUCAUAGUAAUAUCUUCUGGCUUUUAAAAGCAGUGAGUAAUUUUCCACACCGGAGUUUUUACAAAUAACAGUUUGGAUUCUGGUCAAUGCGUGUUGCCUAGGAAUAAAUAAAAAUAUAUAAUAAUAAUAAUAAACUAGAAAGAAGAGAUUCUGAAAUUGCAACAAAUUGACUCUGAUCUGAAGAGUAUGUUCUAGGUUUCUGUUUCUACUUCAAGUCCAUCAAUGUAGGGACUUAUCCUGCAUAUCCUGUUCUAAAGAGAUCUUACUCGGGGAGAUCUCUUCUUUCAUAGAGCAGGAGACAAUGAAUUAAUGCUAAACAGUUACCCUUGUAGAGUGGCUAAC